GGAGCUUUCCUCAGAGUAAAGGCUUCUGUGCUCCGUGAGUGUACGUCCAGAACCAGCCGCUCGCUGGGCGUCAGUUGGGUGUGAUGGGAGAGCAGGAUCUGGCUGUUGUCUAAAAGGAGGGGAUGUGGACAGAAUAAGAUAUGAUCCCGCUGGAGUGCGGACACCAUGCCAUUCUCAAGGGGCCUCUCUGCUUGAUGCCAUUGCAAAUAUUGCUGCUGCCUUCUUCCCCAGAAGCUGUUGCAUUUGGCAGGCGAAUGAAACGAUCUCUCGCCUGUCUCAGGUCUGGACCUGAUCCUACAGGACUGACUCACCCAGAGCGCCAUGCUGAGCCCUGCUAAGUGCCUACAUGGGCGUAUACCAAGAGCCAUCGGCCCAGGCUGUCCAUGGAAGCCCUUCACAUCCUGUACAACCGUCUCCUCUGGCUGAGCAUCUCCUUUCGUUCCCCCAUCGUCCCAGCACUGAACUGGAGCAGGACAGACUAUUCAGACAAGCCCUUCUGCCCCCUGGAGCUGAGCUGGAGGGAUGCUGCAUUCUGCAAGCAUGAGGGCGAGAUGUUGGCUCUUUGGAUAACGCCUCUGGCCCACCAGCCGCACACCCUGUCCCUCCAGCCUCCCUGAAAACAACCGAGGUAUUUGUCCUGCCCUCGUCACGUAAGGGUCUCUGCACUUCCAGUCGUGUAAUAAGUGACAGCGCAGUCGACUUGUGGAACUCCUUGCCAGAGGACGUUGUGAAGGCCAAAAAGAUAACUGGGUUCAAAAAAGAACUAGGUAAAUUCACAGAAGAUAGAUCCAUCCAUGACCAUCAGCCACAUGGGCAGGGAUGUAAUUUCAUGCUCUGGCUGUCACGAGUCUCUGAUCGCUAGAAGCUGGGAGUGGACAACAAGGGAUGGAUCCCUGGCUGAUUGCCCUGUUCUGUUCAUUCCCGCAAAGCACCUGGUAUUGACCACUGUCAGAAGGCAGUAAGUGGACGAUUGGUCUGACCCGCAUGGCCGUUCUUAUGAUGUACCUGACAUUUGUCAUGUGGUUCCCCCACCCCCACCCUCCGGGGUUGAUUGUGCAUGCAGUAGAAGUUAGGGUUUGGGCUUCUAUGCCCAUGUUCCUCUAUGUUCAUAUUAGAGGAGGCAGCUCAGAGAAGUGUCUCAUCCUGGGAGCAGAGGGUGGCGAUGUUUCUGACUGCUCUUAAAUCCUGGAGUUCAUUCCACUGCCUGGGUCAGCCCCGCAGAGCUUUGCCCUGAUUACAGAGAGCCCCGAGGAGGGAGUUGUUGACCAUCGUCUUCAUCCUAGAGCUUUAGUUGAUCUUAGACACCCUGGACCCAGGGCAUGGAGUGCCUUGAAGAGAAGGACCGAGACCUUGAACCUCCUUGGGGUCUGGUGGUCAGAGCGUAACCUGAGAGUCGCUCCAGGACCACCUGCACUGCAAUAAAAACCCGUGGGUUGAUAGACUCGUUUCAGAGGGCUGAAAAUUGCAGUGUGCAAUUACCGCGAUUCAAACAGACUCUCCUGGGGGGAAUGGAACUGUGUGCGUUCGUGUGCGAGAGAGAGCUAGGGACUAAUAGUGGCUGAUAAACCCCAGUCCUGGACUCACCCCCCGCCCCCCGUGCAGUUCUUUCAGGCGCCUUCAUUGCUGGCUUGCUCCAGGCUGGCUUCACAUGACAGACAGUGCCUUCCACUGGAGGAUCCGCAGAGGCUUUGAAACCCCAGCGUGUGGAGUGGGGUGACCAGCUGUCCCAAUUUUAUGGGGAACGUCAUGAUAUUCAGGGCUUUGUCUUAUAUAGGCCCGGGGGGGCUGGAGCAGGUUUUAUAGUGGGGGUGCUGAGAGCCAUUGAACCAAUAAGCCAGUCCUCUUAGUUCUAGCAUCUAUGUAUAGGCCACUAUUACCCACCAGCCCUGGUCCCGAUUGCUCUCUGGGCACCCUAGCGUGAAGCCUCCCUAAGCCCCUGGGAGAAGUGGGCAGUAGUAGCAGCUUCCUGGAGAGGGGGAAAGUGAGACGCAGAUAGAGUGAUUUGCUAAGGACCCCCAGGAAUGCAACAGCACAGUUGGGAAGAGAAGCCAGAUCCCUGGAUUCCAGCCACAAGACCAUCCUCAUCCACUAAGGAUUUAAACCCUCGCUCUAUUUACUUCCCCACUGAGAUCUCAGCUGCUGCCAGACCCAGGUUCAGAAGCUGGAGGGGCACCCUGCCCCCCCCGGGGGUCCCAGCCUCCCCCACCUCAACCUGAUGACUGCAGAGGCCGGUUCUCCAAAGGCCAGUGCUCUCAGCCCAGGGGAAUAACAGUAACGUGGGCUGCAGCAAUGCGCUCUUCCUCUCACUGGUUUCCUUCUCGUUUUCAUUUCCUCUGUGGCCCAGUAAGCCACAGCCACCGGCUGUCCAGGAGGGGAGGUGAAGGCCAACCCACUGCCACUGGAGAGGCUGGAAUUGAAAGAGGAACCGGCAGCCCCAGACCA
ensembl:lncRNA